GGGAUGUGCUCAGAGCAGGGGGCCUGAGGAAUGGCUCCUCUGUUUACAACACACCCAACAGGAAUCUGGGAUCACUGUGGCGAGAGGUACCAAAACUUGUAGGCUUCCUAUGAACAAACUCUACAUGU
rnacentral:snoRNA from 10 species